UAAUUAAAAAAUAAUUUGUAUUUAAAAAUUUUAAUUAAAUUUUUUUUUAAAAAUAUUGUUUAAAUAGGUCAGUCUAACCCGAUCCAAUUAAAGUCUAUUAUUAUAUGGGUUAGGUUUUGGGUUUUCACAUAUCAAUAAGCUGGCCUGAUCCGAAGGUCCAUUACAAUAUGGCUCUCGAGCUCGACCUGAUCUAUUAACACCUCUACUCUACACUUAAAAGGACAUAGCUGCCGAAACUGUUAAGAAGAGGUCGCACCACCAAAAAACCUUACUAAAGGUCAAUAGUUGGUGCUACUAUAGUGGCUAUAAAGAAGAGAAGAAGUGAAAAAGCUGGAGUUCGAGAUGCUGCUAGGGAGGCUGCUCUGCGUGAAAUUAAGGAGAGAAUUAAGAAACCCAAGGAUGAGAAGAAGGCCAGAAAGGCAGAGGUAAUGGCCAAGACACAAAAGACUCAGAGCAAGGCUAAUCUACCUAGGGGUGGCACAUCGAGGGGCCUAAAGCUUGGGGGCGAAGGAGGAAAGCGCUGAAUUUCUUUUUCCUAACAUUAUUGAUUUUCUUCCCUUAAACAUUUGGUGAUCAUUAUAAAUCUGGUCUCGCAUUUGAUAUUUCAAUUGUUUCACUGUAUGAUUUUGAUAUUGUUUCUGAAACUAUGAUUGCAGUGUUGAAAAAGAUAUUCUCGACUUCUAA